UGUGGCCAUGGCCGCCGUGGCCGAGCGGGGCCGCGUGCCUACCCCCGUGCCUGCGCCCGCGCCCAGCACUGAGGGGCUGCCGCGCGCCUUGCUGCAGAGCCUGCACACCCUGUUCCACAUCUGGACAACAGGCGGUGCGGCUGCAGGCACCUGCACGAGAUCCAGUCUCGCUGGCAGGGCGCCAACACGUGGGAGCAGCCACGCGGGGUGCUGGAGGGCUUGUGCCAGGUGGCCCAGGCCAGCGGCUACUUGACCUUCGAGCGCUUCGUGGCCGGCUUGCGCACCACGCUGCUGAGCCCGAUGGCGGCCCCUGGGACCCCACAUGCGCCCUGGCCGGGACCAGGGACCAGCCGCCGCCGCCGCCGCCGCCGCCGCCGCGGCAGCGCCUGGUGUUAGCGCCCGCUGAAGAGCCGCGGACGGUCCUGGAGAGGAAGCCCCAGCCCCUGGGCGUGCGCGGCCAUCUGGCCGUCCCAGCGGCGCGGCCCGCAGCCCGGAGCAGCUGUGCUCCCGGGCCGAGGCGGCGCCCUGCCCCGUGGAGCCGGAGCUGUCCCAGAGCACCGCGCUGGAACCGAGCCGGAGUGCAGACGCAGGUGCAGUGGCCUGCAGGGCCCAGGGCCAGGGAGGCGGACUCAGGGGAUGCCUGGCGGGCCUCCAGUGCCCCAGGGGAACGUCGGAGUCACACCAUCACCAGCGGUAUGGACUGCGGCCUGCUGAAGCAGAUAAAGAAGCUGGAGCAGAGAAGGCUGUGCAGUUGCAGGCUUUGGAGAUGACGGCGCGGGGCCGCGGCUGGUACCAGCAGCAGCUGCAAUGAGUGCAGGAGCACCAGCACCGACUAUGGGGCUGCGGGAGCCCCCGCCCACUGGGGCGGCUACUGCCCAAGGUACAGGAGGUGGCCUGGUGCCUGAGGGAGCUGCUGGCUGCGGCCUGUGCCAGCCAGGCCCUGUCCAAGUCCUCCUCCGCCCCCCACCCGGUCCUGCCCGCACGUCCACUUCGUCCCUGGGCCGGCAGCAGCAGACCAUCCUCAUGCUGAAUGAGCAGAACCGACUCCUCACCCAGGAGGUGACAGAGAAGAGUGAGCGCAUCACGCAGCUGGAGCAGGAGAAGUCAGCACUCAUUAAGCAGCUGUUUGAGGCCCGCGCCCUGAGCCAGUGGGACGUGGGCGCCUCUGGAC
rnacentral:lncRNA from 1 species